rnacentral:rRNA from 1 species
GUCCACGCCGUAAACGAUGGGCACUUGGUGUCGCGGGUAUCGACCCCUGCGGUGCCGAAGCUAACGCAUUAAGUGCCCCGCCUGGGGAGUACGGUAGCAAGGCUGAAACUCAAAGGAAUUGACGGGGGGCCCCGCACAAGCGGUGGAGCAUGUGGUUCAAUUCGAAGCAACGCGAAGAACCUUACCUGGGUUUGAAGAUCAGUGGAACGGGGGCGAAAUCUCCAUUCCCCGCAAGGGGCCGCUGGUUAGGUGCUGCAUGGCUGUCGU